rnacentral:rRNA from 1 species
AGUGAACGCUGGCGGUAGGCCUAACACAUGCAAGCCGAACGGCAGCACAGUAAGAGCUUGCUCUUACGGGUGGCGAGUGGCGGAUGGGUGAGGAAUACAUCGGAAUCUACUUUUUCGUGGGGGAUAACGUAGGGAAACUUACGCUAAUACCGCAUACGACCUACGGGUGAAAGCAGGGGAUCUUCGGACCUUGCGCGAUUGAAUGAGCCGAUGUCGGAUUAGCUAGUUGGCGGGGUAAAGGCCCACCAAGGCGACGAUCCGUAGCUGGUCUGAGAGGAUGAUCGGCCACACUGGAACUGAGACACGGUCCAGACUCCUACGGGAGGCAGCAGUGGGGAAUAUUGGGCAAUGGGCGCAAGCCUGAUCCAGCCAUACCGCGUGGGUGAAGAAGGCCUUCGGUUUGUAAAGCCCUUUUGUUGGGAAAGAACAGCAGCAGGUUAAUACCCCGCUGUUCUGACGGUACCCAAAGAAUAAGCACCGGCUAACUUCGUG